ensembl:snRNA U6 U6 spliceosomal RNA
GUGCUGGCUUCAGCAGCACAUAUACUAAAAUUGGAACAAUGCAGAGAAGAUUAGCAUGGCCCCUGCACAAGGAUGACACGCAAAUUCAUGAAGUGUUCCAUAUAUAA